CGUUGCUCGGAAUCACUGGGCGUAAAGGGCGCGUAGGCGGGGAGGCAAGUCGGGUGUGAAAUCCCUCGGCCCAACUGAGGAACUGCGCCCGAGACUGCUUCUCUUGAGUCCCGGAGAGGAAGGUGGAAUUCCCGGUGUAGCGGUGAAAUGUGUAGAGAUCGGGAGGAACACCGGUGGCGAAGGCGGCCUUCUGGACGGUGACUGACGCUGAGGCGCGAAAGCGUGGGGAGCAAACGGG
rnacentral:rRNA from 1 species